AAAUGAUACACCAUGAAGCUUGAACUUGCUUUCUGACAGCCUCUGAGCACCUGGUGAUGCCACUCAGAUGCAGUGGAAUGAUUUCUGCAUGGGGUAAAUCUUGACCAUUGGGCAGCAGGAGAUGGCCAGAGUGAAGAAGAAACAAUUUUCUCUUCCUUUCUGCCUUCAAUACAAUACACAGAGGCCUGGAUUUUUCUUGUAACAUUUCCAGAGGACAUCCUACCUGAGCAGUCUGCUGUUUUCUUUAUGGCUUGAAAGAUUUGCACACCUUGGUGAUGCAUCACAUCAUAUGACUUCUCAUUUUUUUGGUCUCAUCUCCUUUUUCCUCACCCUUAACACCCUGGACUUGCACCUUCCAAAAAGGUGGCAGCACCUUCAUCCUUCUUUGGGCUCUAUAGAGAUCCAGAAUGAAGAUGAUGAAUCACAGAUUUCACCCCAAACUCUGAACAACGAGUUCACAAAAUUAAGGCAGGGGAUCUACACAAGGGACAUAAAUUAGAAAAGUUGGACAGUUGAAGAAGCCCCUUAUAUUUUGUUUCAUCUUCCAUCUCUGACUUCCACUUGUAUAUUUUUGCUUCUUUCUGAAAUGAAUGCAUUUCAGAAGUUUCUAUAGUAAGAAGUUCUCAGGGUUUUGUUUUUUUUUUCUGGUCAGAAGAAUGUCUUCAUUUUUUUCUUUUUUCUUAAAAAAUAAUUUUUUGCUGGGUACAGUUCUAAGUUGACAGCUAUUUUCUGUUAGCAGUUUGAAGAUCUUGUUCUAUUGUCUUCUGGUUUACAUUCUUGCUGUUGGGGCCUCAGCCAUGAAUCUAAGUUGGGUCAAGAAAAAGAUAUUUUUCCUCCCUUACAGUAUGAGUGUGUGUGACUGCCUUUUCAGUGAGGGUGUAAAUGGUGGUAUCUGAUCCUGCCCUGUAAGGAAGUGGGAGCACAUAUGGCUCUGAGACCCUGCCAGGUGGAAAGCACAUAGAGGAAAGAAAGCUCCCUUUGAGGAAUGGUCCCUGUGAAGACUUCCCCUUAAGAGAAGUUACCCCUGAGGAGAAUUACUCCUGAGGAGUGCUCCCUCUGAGGAGAGACUCUGUCAAAAAAGAAAAAAAAAGAAAAAAAAAAAAGAAGAAGAACUUGACGUGUGAAGCAUGCAGGAGCUGUGCUGAGUACAACAUCCAUGUGUCUUGUUUCG
rnacentral:lncRNA from 1 species